UUCGGAUUGCAGGCUGCAACCCGCCUGCAUGAAGUUGGAAUCGCUAGUAAUCGCGGAUCAGCAUGCCGCGGUGAAUACGUUCCCGGGCCUUGUACACACCGCCCGUCACACCAUGAGAGUCGGGAACACCCGAAGUCCGUAGCCUAACCGCAAGGGGGGCGCGGCCGAAGGUGGGUUCGAUAAUUGGGGUGAAGUCGUAACAAGGUACC
rnacentral:rRNA from 1 species